ACUAUUUUGACAGAUUAAUGUGAUGAAUUUAGAAUUCAUUUAUGUAGAUUAAACUACAGAUAGUA
rnacentral:tRNA from 1 species